rnacentral:rRNA from 1 species
AACGAACGCUGGCGGUAUGCCUAACACAUGCAAGUCGAACGAGACCUUCGGGUCUAGUGGCGCACGGGUGCGUAACGCGUGGGAAUCUGCCCUUGGGUUCGGAAUAACAGUUGGAAACGACUGCUAAUACCGGAUGAUGACGUAAGUCCAAAGAUUUAUCGCCCAAGGAUGAGCCCGCGUAGGAUUAGCUAGUUGGUGAGGUAAAGGCUCACCAAGGCGACGAUCCUUAGCUGGUCUGAGAGGAUGAUCAGCCACACUGGGACUGAGACACGGCCCAGACUCCUACGGGAGGCAGCAGUGGGGAAUAUUGGACAAUGGGCGAAAGCCUGAUCCAGCAAUGCCGCGUGAGUGAUGAAGGCCUUAGGGUUGUAAAGCUCUUUUACCCGGGAUGAUAAUGACAGUACCGGGAGAAUAAGCUCCGGCUAACUCCGUG